GGGGAGUUUCCAGAGUGGUCAAAUGGGGCAGACUGUAAAUCUGUUGGCUUUAGCCUUCGAAGGUUCGAAUCCUCCACUCCCCA
rnacentral:tRNA from 1 species